UUGGAGGGCAAGUCUGGUGCCAGCAGCCGCGGUAAUUCCAGCUCCAAUAGCGUAUAUUAAAGUUGUUGCAGUUAAAAAGCUCGUAGUUGAAUUUCGGGAUCAAUAUAUCGGUCGUGCCAUUGGUACGUACUGGUAUGAUUGGUUUCUCCUUUCUGACGAACCAUGAUGUCAUUAAUUUGGUGUUAUGGGAAGUUAGGACUGUUACUUUGAAAAAAUUAGAGUGUUUAAAGCAGGCUUUGGCUUGAAUACAUUAGCAUGGAAUAAUGAAAUAGGACGUUCGAACCUAUUUUGUUGGUUUCUAGGAUCAACGUAAUGAUUAAUAGGGAUAGUUGGGGGCAUUAGUAUUCAAUUGUCAGAGGUGAAAUUCUUGGAUUUAUUGAAGACUAACUACUGCGAAAGCAUUUGCCAAGGAUGUUUUCAUUAAUCAAGAACGAAAGUUAGGGGAUCGAAGACGAUCAGAUACCGUCGUAGUCUUAACCAUAAACUAUGCCGACUAGGGAUCGGAUGAUGUUAAUUUUUUAAUGACUCAUUCGGCGCCUUACGGGAAACCAAAGUGUUUGGGUUC
rnacentral:rRNA from 1 species